AACGCAUAUUGCACUCUCUGGUAUUCCGGGGAGUACGCCUGUUUGCAGCGUGAAAUUUGAGUGGUCGACGAGUUCUAUCGUCGGAUUCAUGAGCGCGCCAAAGGGGGGGUUUGUGAGUGUGAGUGUGAGUGUGUGUGUGCAACACACACACACACACACACUCUCUCUCUCUCUCUCUCCUUGGGCUUGCUUGAAAAAUAGAGAAUGACCCAAUGGGACCGGCUUUAGGCGUGUUAAAAUGUCUCGUCAGAUGUUACGCUCGGCCUAAGUUUUUUUAGCCAAAGGUCUUUUUGGGCUUUGUCCGUGGAAGAUAAUUUUGUUGAGGAUUUAUCCUCAUUAUUUUUACCUGAAAUCAGGUGGGAUUACCCGCUGAACUUAA
rnacentral:misc_RNA from 1 species